GAUGAAGAACGUAGCAAAAUGCGAUACUUGGUGUGAAUUGCAGAAUCCCGUGAACCAUCGAGUUUUUGAACGCAAGUUGCGCCCGAAGCCUUUUGGCCGAGGGCACGUCUGCCUGGGCGUCACGCAUCGCGUCGCCCCCCACAAUUCUUCGUAAAGGGAACAUGUGUUUUGGGGGCGGAUAUUGGUCUCCCGUGCUCAUGGCGUGGUUGGCCGAAAUAGGAGUCCUUUCGAUGGACGCACGAGCUAGUGGUGGUCGUAAAAACCCUCGUCUUUUGUUUUGUGCUGUUGCUCGCAAGGUAAACUCUUUAAAAACCCCAAUGUGCCGUCUCUUGACGACGCUUCGACCGCGACCCCAGGUCAGGCGGGACUACCCGCUGAGUUUAAGCAUAUCAAUAAGCGGAGGA
rnacentral:misc_RNA from 1 species